AGUGAACGCUGGCGGUAGGCCUAGCACAUGCAAGUCGAACGGCAGCACAGUAAGAGCUUGCUCUUACGGGUGGCGAGUGGCGGACGGGUGAGGAAUACAUCGGAAUCUACUUUUUCGUGGGGGAUAACGUAGGGAAACUUACGCUAAUACCGCAUACGACCUACGGGUGAAAGCAGGGGAUCUUCGGACCUUGCGCGAUUGAAUGAGCCGAUGUCGGAUUAGCUAGUUGGCGGGGUAAAGGCCCACCAAGGCGACGAUCCGUAGCUGGUCUGAGAGGAUGAUCGGCCACACUGGAACUGAGACACGGUCCAGGCUCCUACGGGAGGCAGCAGUGGGGAAUAUUGGACAAUGGGCGCAAGCCUGAUCCAGCCAUACCGCGUGGGUGAAGAAGGCCUUCGGGUUGUAAAGCCCUUUUGUUGGGAAAGAAAAGCAGCAGGUUAAUACCCCGCUGUUCUGACGGUACCCAAAGAAUAAGCACCGGCUAACUUCGUG
rnacentral:rRNA from 1 species